CAGCAGAACAGACAACUAACUCCGUCGCGUCCGCCGUGACCAGCGAGCUCACCGGUCGGGCGCUCUCCGGGCUCAUCAGCAAGUUCGGCAAGCAGGCUACCGUCGACGUGAAGCUGCAGCGGCUGGAGAUGCUGCUCAUCAAGAUCCACGGUGCGGUCGAGGCGUCCGAGAAGCACGCCGUCGAGAACACCUGGCUGAUCCGGUGGCGCGACAAGCUCAAGGACGCCACCUCGGAGGGCGACCAGGUGCUUGCUAGCUUCAGGACUCGAGCCGGCGAUGCAGAUACUCAAGCCGCCGGCACCGCCAAUACGCCGCCGCACAACGGCGCGUCUUCUUCUACUACCAGUACCGCUCCUCCUCCUGCUACAGCUGCAGGUACUGCUCUGUCUUUCACCAGGAUUGCUCUGCCGGGAAUGGCGCAGGGCAUCCACAGUGCUAGAAUGAUGCUCUUCUCGAGCGAAGACGAGGGCAUGAAGAGGCUGAACGCCACGGUCGAGAAGCUACGACUGCUCUCAGCGGACAUUGGGGACUUCGUAAGGCUCCAUUAGCUUGAGGUCUUGCAAGCGACACAGCAAAAACAGUUGGAGAAGAAGGAGUCUGUCGCAGCCCAGGAGGACACCUUCCCAGAGGUAGCGCGGAGUCCCCCGCGCAAAAGGCACAGGAUCAGGCUCACGUCGAAGCCCCAGGGUAGUAAUAGGAAUAGCUUCGCGAUGGUAGAGAAGCCGUCCGACGCAUCAGCUCCCAGCAUGAUCAACAAGGCAUCGCAAAGGAAUAGCCGUGAUGAUCAACACCAUAUGCUAGUGUACAGGCUCCUCGCCGCUGCACAGGACACUCCCGCUGGCGGCAACUCCGGCACCGUCCACUUCUACCACUGGGACAAGGCACAGGUGGCUGCCAAGAGCUUCCCCGCUGAGCCGAUACGCGCGCUUGUUGCGGACCAAGAGGGCAGCUACCUCAUUGGCGGUGGCAGCAACGGCAACUUAUUCCUUUGGGAGCUCUCCAGGCAGCCAUGUCCAUGCAUGUAAUCUGUUUGAUGAAAUGGCCCUGGAGACAAAGUAGCUGCUAGUUGCUGCACUAGUGCUUAUGCGUAUCUAAGGAAACCAGGAGCAGAAAAUUAAUAAGGCACAACGUUUCUUCUUCGCUAACCUGAUAUUUUUCUCUUUUUGAUUACUGUACAGGAUGGCAGGAUUAGCACUAGAGGAUUCUCAGUUUGAUGCCCAAGCAGUAUGGCAACAGUAUGCCCAAGCAGAGGGUUCUCGAACAGGAAAGCUACAUUCUGUCCUCCUUGACAAGUUUCAAAUAGUAUGUUGGUUUUGUGUGCAUUACCAAACCGAGAAUAGUAGUAUUAACAUAGCAAGCUUGUUUCCUUUGCACUCCAGCAUCAAGAUAUCCCUGAGCACUAAACCUAAUUGCCAAGAUAAAAUACAACCUUGUUUUCAAAGACAUGUGCCCUUUAUCCUUUGACCUGUUCCAAAGUCAUGUUCUGAUCGCAGCUGCUGUUUAGAGGCUUGUGUGCAAAAUGCCUACUAACCUGUUUCGAUUUGUAUCGCAUCAGUGUGACCACAGUUUAGCAUUGAGCACUUCUUCUCUGCAGGUCAGCUCGACUGCUUGUGCAUGGGCAGCAAAAUUACAGAUCAAGUUCAAAUCCUCUCAGGUCGAGGAUCAGAUGCAGCAAGGAAUAGUGCUCUUCUCAUGUCGAGGUCAGAUGCUACAAGGAAUAGUGAAGAUCCCUUGCUGGUUCAUGCGUGUCGUUAGUUAGAUUCUCUAGUUAUUAGGGGGUGCUUGGAUCUCUUGCUGGCCCUUUGCAUAGCUAGGAAAACUGUGUAUUAUUGGCUGGAAUUUGCUAAAAUUCAUUGUAUUAUGUGCUAUAAUGUGUAUUAUGAUAAAUGGGCAGUAAGCUGGCCCAACUUUGGUGUGCUGAACUUUUAUGGGCCAUUAAUGGGUUUGAAUUUCAAUUGAUACAACUGAAACCAAUGAUUGGCAAAAAAAAUGCAUACGUUUCUA